rnacentral:rRNA from 1 species
GAUGAACGCUGACAGAAUGCUUAACACAUGCAAGUCGAUGGGGAAGUGGUGCUUGCACCAUGGCAACCAUGGCGGACGGGUGAGUAACGCGUAAGGGACUUACCUGCAGGACUGGGAUAACAGGGGGAAACUCCUGACAAGACCGGAUAAUGUCAUGGAGCUGCAUGGCUUUAUGAUGAAAGGAGACGCCUGCGGAGAGCCUUGCGUCCUAUUAGCUAGUUGGUGAGGUAAUGGCUCACCAAGGCGAAGAUAGGUAGCCGGCCUGAGAGGGUGGACGGCCACAAGGGGACUGAGAUACGGCACUUACUCAUGCGGGAGGCAGCAGUGGGGAAUAUUGGACAAUGGGGGCAACCCUGAUCCAGAAAUUCUGUGUGCACGAAGAAGGUUUUCGGAGUGUAAAGUGCUUUCAGCAGGGAAGAAGUAAGUGACGGUACCUGCAGAAGAAGCGACGGCUAAAUACGUG